CCAAUAUGCGUAUGCAUUAAAUGUAAAAUAUUCUACAAUAAAACGUGUUUUAUAAAAAUACAAAAAUUUAAUAUGAAAUUGCGUGAUUAAUUUAAUUAAAAAUUAACAUCAGUUGUACUUGAUUUGCUAAAAAUGUUGUUAGCACGCACAAAACAAGAUAUAAUUUAUUAAAUUUUCUCCACUAUUUAUUUCUCAUUUGAUUCAUAUUUUUGUUAAUAAAUACUGUUUAUAUUAAGUAAAAAUAAAAACAAACAUUAAUUAGAGGUAUGAUUUUAGGUGACGUAUUUUAGAAGACCAGUACAUUUCAGUACCCAUUUUUAAUUUUUUGAAAAAUAUUUUAAUGAAAUUAAACUCAAAUAAUGGCCAGGAUUUAUUAAUUAAUGAAAAAGAUGAUAUUUGUAUAAAAUAUCUGCAUUUACUAGAUGGAUAUAAUUAUCCAUAGGAUAAUUUAUCUUUGCGAUUUAUUGAUAAUUUUUUUCAGAUGUAUGUCUGAUCGAUGGCCGACUUUCAUUUGCGUAAGCAUUCGUUGCUACUCUUGCACACAUUUUUUAUCAUAAAGAAAUUUUCGAACGUAUGUGUAUGCUGAAACGUCCUCGCAUUACGCUCCGAAUACAUCCGGGAUCAAUUUAAAUAUGCAUCGUAUGCUCAACUUAUGAAAGUUCGCCGUAUUCGCGGGUGCAAGAUGACGAUCUCGGUAAAGCGUGAAACGAAAAUCUUACCGCGGAUUCACCUGCAAAUUUUCGGUCUUCGAGCGCUAGAAGUAUCAACUUUCAGGCAUUACUCGCCGAUGCCUCAAUAAUGCUUCCCCGUUUCCGGAACUUUUCUCUUCUUGCGGCGUUCAUACGAUAAGAAAGCGCGAGCUACGUUCGUAUAUUCAAUUCAAAAACUUUUCACGCGUCGAAAUUCUGAACGUUUGCUUCGAAGACUCGAGACGUAUGGCACCGACUUCAGAGAAUAGUUUGCGUCUGGAAAUUUUACUUAACGUCGCAGAUUCGCAUUUUUCACGAUGACCAGUGUAUAAACAACUUUUGUAUGUUCUCACUUUACGAGUUUGUAUGUACAAGAGACACAAUAAUGAAAAGUAAGAGAUACAGACCAAAAUGGAAUUGAACGUUUUAUUUAUCUUAUAAGUCUAACAUGAUUAUUUAAGAUGUAUUUUUUGAAUUACUCGGCAUAAAAUUGCACUCAAUUCGUGGAUAAAGUGCCUGCAGUAUGUUUAUCUUACGCUCUCUUGUUCAUUUCAGUAUUCUAGUACGUACCUUUGGGACAACGUGUGCUUGUUUGUUCACACACAAGUAAAUAAAACUAUUAUUCUGAUGUAAUAUAAAACACGAGCUUUCUUACUAACAAGGGUAUUGCAUUUAAGAGAAACCUGAUAUUUUUUACUCUGCGUCUACAAAAUUAUACUGUUUAUUAUUUGUGAAGGUUCAGUUGGAGAAUUGUCUUCUCUUUCUCUGUCAAGUAUAAUAUAUGCGAUUAUAAAUGUUUUUUUUUUUUUAUUAUGUACUUUAUAAACAGUGGCUAUAAAUGAUUUUUUUUAUAUAUUUUAAAAUGUGCGUGUUAUAUACAUUUGUACACAUUACUUCAUGAAAUGAAUAUAAUCUUUUAGAAGAGUAAGGUCUUUCAUGUGAACCUUUCGUAGAAAAUUUUGAUUUAUUCCAUUUUGUACGUAAAUGUAUAACUUUUGACACUUUAUGCGUAGAAACGCGGGUAAAAUUUUUCUUGACUAUUUGAAAUAUACUCGUUCUGUUUUUAAACAAGUUUCUGUAUUGGAACUGUCGAAAGUCGUCAUUCUCUGGAUUGCUUUAGCCGAGAUAAGAAAUAUAAAAUAUAAUUUUUAUAUUUCAAAUUUCUUACACUCUUCUUACGGGUAGUAUGCAGCUUAAUUUCUAAAUUUCUUAUUUAUGGUAUAAAUUGAAUUUCCGUAUGUAUUCUAAACAUUUAUAUAAUACGAAUAUUUGAUCUAAAUAACAGAAAGUAGAGCUAUUAAAUUGAAAUGUUCUCUCUUAAAAAAUUAUGAUAUUUUAACUAUUCUCAGUUAUUUUAUCGAGAAUACAUGGAAGUCUGAUUGAUAUCACAGGAAUAAUAUCUGUAACAAUUUUAAUACGCUCGUCGUCGGAUCGUCGUCGAACCCAGAAAUUAAUUCUACCUUGUGUUAAUUCAAUAGUGGCAACUAAUCUUUAAUACAUUCCAUUGAAGCUACGAUUGUGGCUUAUAGCUGCUUAAUGUCUUGUUUUCUGAAUAAAAAGCUAUUAUAUAUGUGUGUACAUAGUUUUAUUAUUAUGCAGAAAAUUGUGUAAACUCCUAUAUAUCAUUUAAAAAAAAUAUACAAUGAACUUUUUUAUCCGAAAAAUUGAAGACCAUUAAUUGCCAUAGCAAUUGGGACUCGUAACACUGAGGAAAAAGGUAUAAAAUGUUACGUUUUCAUUCAUAACAUUUUACAUAUUUUUCUCAAUAUUAUGGGUCCCACGUUUCACCUAUACGUUAUUUAUGUAACUACUGCAAAUAUUUUUAUCUACUACCGCAAAUGUAUUUAACUCGCUAAAUGUCAUAACGAGAAAAGUUACUCUUCAGAAAGUUUAUUUCAACUAAUUACUUUACUAACGUACGUUAGAUAAUCUCUUUUCGGACAUGUUCCGCCCACUCGUGUUAGAUUGUAAUCUCGUUCAUUAUGUAAACGUACGUUACGGCGUGAAGGGAUUGAACAGAGUGGGUAAACGUGUAAGGUCAAUGAGAUUCUACCUUUUACCUCUGUCUCACUUUCUCGUUAUGUUACUAAACGAUGAAUCUAUCUCCGCGGCUAAGGGUACCGAAGGCAGCAAUUAAGCACUUGCCUUCGUCCAUCGUAGUUUUCCCUUGAGGACUAAUUAUUGUCUAAACGGACUAACUGUUUCCGUACACAUCGAACGUUGUUCUAUUGAACAAUAGAAUAUCCUUCGAACUUGAAUGCAGUUCGGAGGUAAACGAGAUCCUCCUACUGGAAGAUUGUUCUUGUCGUGGUAUGGAUAGAAUUCUAAAUUGUAAUUCAACUGCCAUCUCCUUCUUUAUUCGUUACUGCAUACGCAUGAAUGAUUGGCCUCGCAGAUAAACGUAUUUGUUAAAAAUAUAUCCAGUUAUUUUUUAACAAAUUUUUAUUUUUCACAAUGUUCCAUUCACAUUGAUACGGCAGUUAUUUUAUGCAACUAUUGUUUUCAAUAAUAGACAAAUACAUUACAAAUAGUUGUAUGCCUAUAAUCAAAAUGGUUUUGAAAAUUUUACAAUAACUUACAUAAAACAAUUUUAUUUUAUUUUUUUAGAAAUUAUUCAUAUAUUUUUGUUAAUUUUAUAAUGGAGAAUAUCAUGUUACGAUCUUCUGUUCCUCUCCGUUUAUAUUUUGUAUAAUAACUUUAUUAAUAAUCAUUAUUUUAACUUGAAGACGAUUAUAUUAGUCACUGAGUCGUUCAAUUGAUUCUAGAUUCAAAAUUAUAAAAUAUUUAUUAUUUGGGAUGCUAUUUAUAAAAAUGUGACGACACUAUAUAAUGGAUCGAAAAGAAACAGAAGUGGUAACUCUUUUCACGAAAAUAGAUUUAAAAGUUGAUUUUGUUUAACAAAAUAUUGUGUUCUGUUAUAAAAGUAUCUAUUUAUUUAAAGAAAAAGUAUUACAAAAUAUAUACGAAUAUAUAGGUACACGUAACUUAUUCUGUAUAUAGACUGUAGUAUUGAAAAUCUAUAAUACACAUAACGUAAACUAUAGAUUAGCAAUAACUACAAUAAUCUUAUCGAAUAAUUACUUUGAUAUGAAAAAAGAUCAUAUUAGACUUGUUGAGCAGCUUUAAGGAACUGUAUUAACAAAAUUCCAUUGCUAUUAUUUAACUUUGCAUAACUCGAAACAUGCACAGUCAAAUAAAAUAUUAAUAAAUGAACGAACACUUAUAUACAUAUAUAUUCGUGUGUACUACGCUCAAGUUUAAAAAGAAUGAGGAAGUGUGUGUAAUUAAAUGUUAAAAUGUAUUUUUUUUUAAUGUCGAAAUGUUUAAAGUAAAAAUAUCUUAUAAUAAACGUCGGCUUGUACUCGGCUUUACUACAUUAUCGUCAUUGCAUAAUGAGCUACUAAAUAAAUGAUUUCAUAACUAAUCAUUCUAUUCGUCCCCUAAUAAUGGACAUAUUACAUUACGCCGCCUUCUUUAUAUACGAUAUGUGGUUUGAAGCAUUGAAAUGAAUAAUAAGCAAAAUGGCAUGCUUUGGAUUAACAAAUAUAUUUACAAACUCCCCUAUGACAUUUUAUACGCAUUGUGGUUUCUGCAAUAGAUAAUCAACUGAUUUCUGUAGGGAAUUUAUAUGAGGGGUAAUGAAAAGCAGGAAAUUUUGUCACUCUUAAAUACCGGUAGCGACAUCAAAUAACGCACGUUAGAAAAAAUUAGGUCAAAGAUACGUAUUGGAAAAGUAAAGGUCAGAAGAGGAAAUCGAUGUUUAAAUUCAGUCUGAGAAAACUAUGCGCUGAUUCAGCGCUGCUUUAUUGUGACUUUACUGUCAUUAUGGCGUGGAUGUAAUGACUUAUAUUCAAACACGAGAUAUUCUUUUACGAGAGAAUUUUAUUCUUCAGAGAAAUAAAAAUAGUGUGCAGUGCAAUAAUUCCGGAAUUGUUUUUGCAAAUCGCGCGACAGUAGGGGUUAAGCGUCGUUAUAUAUCACGGCGUGACUUAAGUUGCGACGCUCGAUGCAACGAGCGCACAAUUAUGGUGAUUUCCUUCGUUGUAUUUCACGUGUAUUUCCUUCAAUCUGCAUCUGAUCGUCUCUCGAGAAUGCACAAUUUGGUUAAUGCGUUUGCCACACCCGCGACGGCACUCGUUUCUCAGAAAUCCGAAACUCGUAUUUCCAUAAUCGAUAAACAUGUUAAAUAGCGAUCUUUGAGCCACGCUUCUAUUUCGAUUAUGAAAAACUACGUUGUUAUGGUCGUGGAAAUCAAUUUAAUGACGUUCGCGAAAGAUAUGAACGUCAUGAUCGAUAGUUCCGUAAGUCAAAGCAUUAAGGAUGCAAAUGGCGGUUCUUAGAAACUUUCGUUUUAUAUUCCUCUUUCCACUUCCAUUUUCUUCAUCGUAAAGGACUGUUUUUACAUCAGUUUCACUUUUACUUUGGUCUAUUUGCUUUAAAGUUGGGAGAGAUUUAUUAAAGAAUUGUUUUUUUUUUAAAGAUUAUUUGCAUAUAUACGUACUAAAAUACUUAAUUUGCAAGUAACUUAAAAAUUUUUAAACAUCUCGAGUCGAAAUUUUAAUCCUAUUUUUUACUUUUUUUUUACCCUUAUUUUGAUGCUUUGGGCCCUUAAAUAGAUCUUUUUUGAUACCUUAAGCCUUAAACUCUCAAAUGGACCUUUUUGGAAUUGAUCGAAUCUAUUACGGUUUUUGUAGAGGGUUUAAAGAGGUUUUAAGAGGUCGAAAACCUCUUUUGAACUUCAAUGUGGGAAAUUUUCCGUUAAAUUUGCCAUUUUGAGGCUCACGGUGGAAGCUCAAUAGAUCUUUUGAUCAAAAUGAAACUAAAAUUUUGACUCGGAAUGUUAAAUGUAUAGUAUAAUAAAAUAUCUGUUUGCAGCUCUUUGUUACAAUCAUACUGCAAAACGUUCAAUGCAUUCCGAAAAGGAGUAUCGAAUAAACAGAAGCGCCGCGGGGUGCGUCAUACGGCCCACGCUGUAUUCCUCGAUUUAUGUGACAUUUCCACGGAAAUCAUAAAUUUACGUGCGUCAUAUAGAUCAUCAAAAAAAUGGAUCGCACCUGCGUUGGAGCAUUAUUACCGUUGCGGCGCGGUGGAAGUGCGAAAUUUAUAUUUCAGUCGCAUCGUGUGUGCGAGCGACUACGACGCGCGUUUUCUAUUCUCGACAAUGAAAAAGCAGCCUUCGCGUUUAUAACGCAGUAACAUUGUGAAACCGCGCGAUGACGCAUUCCAUAGGCCAUAUAAUGCCGAUAACUCGCGUACAUGUUACUACAAUAAUGAGCGUGUUCAUCUUAAUCGCGGUCGUACAAAGCGACGUUGUUCCAUUCAAAGAUUUGACGCAUCUUGGUAACUUAGAUAAAGUUUCAUCUCAUCAGCGUCGCAUUAAAAAUCAUCAUCUCGCGAAGAGCCAGCGAGCGCAAACGUUCGUAUCAAUUUUGUGUACAAAUUUUUAUUUCUUCCUGUCGUAGUCCUAGUGUAGAUGGAGGUGACGGCGCGAUAUGAAUGAUUCGUGGGGUAUCGUAGAUCAGUUAUCACGUUCAGACUGGAAAGGCUGAUGCCCGGCAACGCCCGCAACCAUUUCAAUUCUCAGACGGAUAUCUCGGUGGCGACGCGACGCGACGCGACGCGGCAUGGCGCGGCACCGCGCUUUUCAUUUCCCUCGAAAGAUUUAUGACGUGAAUCAGAUGCAUAAAUCUCAUCGCCCUGCGCAAAUUCGCCGUUUGUCCGAGGCCAGCCGCAUCUUUAGCAUUUUAAAUAGUGCGGCCGGGACAAUUUGACUGGCGGCGAACGAUAGCAAAUCGAUGAGUGCGUUGGCAGAAUUCGUUCAUUAUUCAAAACACGGGGGAGAGCUGUUGUUGGGUUACCAGUCUGUCUGGUCGGCUUCAAUGGAAUAUAUUAGCAUCGUGCAGAGCAAAAGUGGUUCCCUUCAGAACCACUCCACGCCACUCUGCGUAAACGUCGCGCGCUUGCCACAGACUCUUCUGUUUUUCUUUUCCGUUCUUUCAACCGCGUUCGCCAUGUACGAAUAUAUGCGUCCAAACUGUCAGGUAAAAAGCCCACGACGUAAAGGCUGCGGAACUUUCCACGUUUUCAUCACAUCGACUAGCACAUUCACUUCACAACUUUCUCUAUGAUACCUCAGUGCCUCAUUACUUUUCGGUAAAUAUUUAACCUUAUGCAUCAGGCUGAAUAGGGUGUCUAGAUAUUUAUCCCUGCAACGUAUACACUAAACGUUGCGCCAAGUAUUGUAGUGAAUAUGCUAAAAAGCGGGAUUUUACUUUUAGAAUUCUCUCUCUCUCUCUCUCUCUCUCAAAUCAACGUCGAGUCUUAAAUUAACACUCUUUAGUUUAUUAUACGAAAUAAUAUGUUUAAUUCGAUUUAAUAAUUUUGCACGUAAUAACAACGUGACGUAACACGCCCGUAAAAUAUAUAAGUAAAUGGAUAUAUAUAUAUAUAUAUAUAUAUAUAUAUAUAUUGCAUAUAUUAUGGAAGACUUUAUCUCUUCUUUUGAUUAAGAAUAUUAAAUUCUGUAUAAUGAAACUUGCUGUAUAACGCGUUAAACGAAAAAAGAUGAGCGAAACUUUCCUGAAGUAAAAUUAAAAAUGCUAUCCCAGAUUAGAAUCUUCACUUUUUGUACCACAUAGAGAGUUAAUUUUUUAUUUGACUCUUUUGACUUUUGCGUGAAUAACGAAAUGUUCUUGAGAAGGGAUCUGUCUUUUUUUUUCAUACUUGUUAACCGAUUUACUUUAUCUGUCGAACAGAUUGUACGUGACAAUUCAACCUAUAGGUUUUUAUGCAGUAUUGAAUCCUUUAAUCUUUCACUAAAUGAUUAAUCGAUAUCAGGGGUAGUCAUUACUACCCUUGGGGGUCAUUAACGAUAUGGAUGGUGCCACGAACGUUAACCGAUAUUGAAUAUGGCUUAAUCGAUGAGAGCGGAUGACUCGAUUAGUUGCUGACGCGUCGUUACAUCGAUGUUUGUGACGUCUUAUAUACAGAUAUACAGAUUAUGCCAUUUCGAAAAACAAAUUUACAUAUCUAGAAACGCACGAGUUUUCGGAACGGAUAGGAACAGUAAUCAAGCGAUUGUGAUUUUAAAUUUACUCGGGUAACGCAUUUUUUAAGUUCUUUGUUUCAAGUUGUUUUAUGCACGUGUAUACUAUAAUGACAAUAAAAAUGAAUUUCUCGUUGAUAUUCAAUUUUCGUGUAUGGUCGAAUUCUGCUUCGUAUAUUUAGAUUCGUAAAAAGUAUAAAAGGUAGUUAUCUCCAAAAUUCUAUUUGUGGUAUCAAAAUAGUGUUCGGAUUCCCACGUGUCGUAUAUAUAAAAGGUCAUACAUGCGUGCAAAUGCGUGUGUAUGAUGUAUCGUUCAUUCCGAUUAAACGGCAAAACCGAUUAUAGUGAUCUGUACAUAGAAAAAGUGUAUGACCCAGUUCGACGGUAUCUGAAAAACUGGAAUAUAUGUAACAACGUGAAAGAACUUGAAAAUUUGGAAAGUGUACCGUGUGAAUUUGACAGCCCUUUAAUUGUUUAAUCAGUAUAAAUGUAGGACGGAUUUUAGGAGUCUGGAGCGCCGAAGGACUACAAAAUAUGCUCUCUGAAGCGAAUUACUUAGUGGGAUGGGAUAGGUUAAUUGGGAAAGAGUUACUCAUAAAAUGGAAAUGGGUCAAAUAAUGACGACGACAGUUUUCUUUUUAAGAGUAGUUUUUCUUUUUGUGUCUUUAUUCGUCUUUGUUAGAAUUUUCUUUAACAGAAUUAAUUUCCGUUAAAUACAUUUAUACCUGAUGAAGAUUCUUUUUAAUUUUCUUUAUCUAUGUUAUAAAAUAAGAAGUUAAAAACUAUUAUUGCAAGAAACUGUAAUAUAUCUGAAAGCACAUUGCUAUUAGUUUGUCUGUUUUUACAUCAUAUAGAUAUGCGAAUUUUUUAAUUCUCUACCCGAUUGAAAAGGGUAACUCGUUUUAAUAUUUUUAAAAAGCCUUUGAUUUUUUUUUCAACAUUAAAUGAUUCCAAAAUUUCAAUUUGCAAAUUUCAAUUUAUGCAAAAUUAUCCUUGAGCAAAUAUUUAAUUAUAUAAAAUUACAAGAAUAUAUACAUUAAAAUAAUUUAAAUUUAGCGCACGUAUAGUUUUAAAAAUUUUAUUUAUUUAUAAAAUAAAAAUCGAUUUAACGUUUCUGUUAAGAGUUAUCACUUGUAUGGUAAACAGAGUGAUUAUCAUAUUGUAGCUUGAAUCAGUCCUAUCUCUCGUGCAAUUGUGUAUUCAAAAUAUACGCGCCUCCGAUAAACCGCAGCCGAAGGUAAAUUAUUCGGCAGAAAUUUCAACCAACUUGGUGGUACACGGCCGUUCUCCAUUCUAAUUAAGAUAUUCAGGGCAAACGGAAUUCUAGAAGUUUAAGCAAAACGCAAGAAUACAUCAGAAUUUCCUUAUGCAUAAUCAGUCGUAAGUAAGGUAUGAUGAUUGUCCUUGCAGAGAGAUGCCCGUCGCGAUAGUUUGAAGGUGCAAUACUCCGGCGGGUCACAAUGCAAUUAAACUGCGCGCAACACAGGUGUGCUAUCGCGUGCAUAUUUCAGAGACGAUGUAUAUGCUCGCCUCCCCGGGCACGGCAAAGUGCGUGCGGUGCGUGUAUAAUUCGCGCUGUUGAAAUCCAACGUCGGGUGUGUAAAUCGAUCGAUAACACCAAAUGCAUGUUAUUCUCGUUAAUUGCCUAAAUCGAUAGGGCCGUAGCGAAGAUUUCCAUCGUACCAUCUAUGGUUACGUUCAUACCCAGCGCAUCGACGCAGACCGUUAAUGUCGAAAUUGACAGAAAAUCGUUAACGACGUACGUACCUACGUACGUACGUACGUACGUACGUACGUAUGUACGUAUGGCGCAUUUGCAAUGGGUUGCCGCGCUCAAUGACGAACCUCGCGCUUCUCGAAAUUAAUAAAGUUCGACAUUGAGUUCGUUGUUAGGUAUUAAUUCAGAUACGACGAGCUGUGUUGCAUUUCGCUGGCGCGUGAUGCCGGAUUUUGGAACAACAGUCUGACGUAGAAUAGUUGGAAUAAGACGAGCAACACGCAGCGCAGCUCUUGCGAUUGAUUAGAUCAUCCAUCUAACAAUGUACGAUUGCGAGCCAGAUUAUUUAAAAACGGGAUGGGAUAGAUUGCGAGUAUUUGCCUUUGUAGUGAAAAAAGACAUAUCGUGUCUCGCAAUUAUGUUAUGUUUUAUUUUUUAUGUUUUAAUUUGUUAAAGAAAUUUCGAAAUUAAUAGAAUCAAGGUAGUAAAGAAUUGGAAAUGACAUUCCUUUUAGAAACCUUGUAGAUAUUCGAUGCACACUUGACAAAUUCUAAAGUAGCGAUUUUCCAUUUUCUGAAGUUAACGCACGAACUAAAUUUAUUUCCAAGAUGAGAUAAUUCUACAACUACGGAUUCCAGUGCUGGAUAAGUUUAAGAAACAUUUAUCACUAAAAUUUCUAUCGUUAGAAGUGUCACAUCCUUGCGGUAAUUAUCUCAAAAGAAAUAAAUCUCUUGAAUAGAGAUUGAAAAGGAAGAGAGAGAAAGAAAAGUUUUCCUAAGUUUUUUACAAUUUUAAAUUAAAAAAAGAAUUUUCUUAUAUUUGUUGUUAUACAAUGUAAAAUAUUCGCUUGAGAAUAUCGCUUGAGCAAUAACGUUUAAUGCUUCGCUUUCCGAAUCGUCACUCCCUUUUCUUCCAUCAACAAUUUCGUUUGCACCUGCUUGGUAUUCUCUUCACACUUAUUUACCUUUGUUGAUUUUCGCACGUGAACAAGUUAGGGAGUCACAGUCAAAUCACAAUGUUGACAUUUUCGGUCAGUGCUCCAGUUUAUUUAACUAGUUUUACCGUUACGCUUACCGAAUCUUCCGCUUGCAGUAAUUGUUCAUUCUCUAGAGUUGUAUGUGCUUUAACAAUUUUGCGCAAAGAAGUCAUCUUUUAUUCACAGAAAACAAUGUGAAUUUAAUAGUUGCAAAAUUACGACUAUAUAUUUCGUAAUAUAUCGGAAUCUUCCACCAGUUCUCUAUUAGAUUUUUGUUCUGCUUUUGUAUACAAUCCCAUAAAUACUUUUGGAAAGAAAUUAUAUAAUUGGUUAAUACAUUGGUUAAUAAAAUGGUAGAUUUAAUUCAUACUUUCUGAUUACAAGAUAAACUGAUAAAUCAUAAAAUGAAACAUUUCGGCUUACGAGUUUCUAACUGGGGCAAUAUUGCGCUUGUUAUUUUUUUAUAUUAUAUGCGGCAGUAAAUCCUAUAUUUUUAUUUUUAUUUUUUAUAAGUUUCAAGUUAUUCCGACUUUACUUACAAUACACGUGAGUUUAAAACGUUUGUUAUUUUUGUAAAAAGUUUUUUUUUUUACGUAGAUUGUAUAAAUCGUCGAGUGCAAGUUAUGUCGAGAAUGUAUAACUGAAACGUUAAUCCGAAACCGAUUUAUUACGCUCUAACGGAGCAUUAAUGUUACCAAGAUCGUCGUGACAGGUAGGCGCGAGGCGCAACAUCGACGAAUUAUGCACAAAGCCAUCCGGUCUCGGAAAUUUGCGCGAUUAUUGGAGGGUUUAUGCAGCCGUCAUCUUAUCUGCACUGCAUGCUGGCAUAUGUAUUCAUGGACAGAACACGCGUUAGUUAAGAUACGCAGGCUGCCUGCAAAUGGUUAGUGAAAUCGUACAUAUCGCAAUAUGUUACGGCGUCGCAUUCGCUCAUUACGGUACGCAUAAUGAAGCCGAAAAUUUGAUGCAAAUCGUCAUUAAGUUGCUUGUUAUUUUAAAAUAAUAAAUGCAAUUCAAUUUUACAUAUUGUGUAAAUCACAUAUAUGUGAUAUUUUACAUGAGGCAUUUGAUUUUUUACGGAAUAAAAGUUGUUACAAAAGUUCUAUCGCAAUUUCUAAAAAGUGGGUUUCAAGAAACGCAAUAUUCUGCACUUAUAAAAAGUUUAUUCAAUUUUAUCACUCAAAACAUUUUGCAUAUCGUUUUAUACAGAAGAUACGAGACAAGAUACAAUCUCGUAUAAAUGUGUGUGUAUGUGUGUGUGUGUGUGUGUGUGUGUGUAUAUAUAUCCUUUUGCAUAUCCUCCGUAGGGUAAAUUUGGCACCAGGAAGUUCACGUAAUCAUUUCAAGGGCAUGAUCCCUAAUUAAAAGCCUUGGUGACGACAUUCGCGCUAUCACGGCGGAAAUUAUGUCUCUGAUAAAUUUUAUCCGUCCGAAACUUUAGGGGCACACAAAUUUCGCGUACCUGGGUAUCAAAUUCCGGAGUUAAAAUUGUACAGCUUUUAGUUACACUGUUGAAACUUAUCAGAGUUUCUCGACCGCAGUCAUCUGACUGCUGCUGGACAGACUAAACUUUAUGUAUAAAAUAUGUUUCAAAUACAUUAUACGUAUACGUGUAUGUAUGGUUUCUUCACAUAGAUCUAAACUAAUGAUAGUACAAUUCUGUUUUAUCAGCACCUUAUUACGAUAAAACAAUUUCUAUAAUCUAUAUUUAUAAUCUAUUAUAUUAUAACUUAGCAUUGCGAGGAAUAGUUGAUAUAUCAGGUUUUAAAAAUAUCUAAAUUUUUUUAGUACAGUAAUUGCUAUAAUUGUAUUUAUUCAUAUAACAAAAUGUGCAAGUACUUAAGAAAUUUUCUUACUUAUGGAAUCCUUUCUUAUUUAAUUUCGUAUUUUAAUAAAACGAUUUUAAAUUAUUUGUAAUAAGAAAUUUGAGUUCAACGAUUUCAAAUUUCUUGUUAGCGAUAAAAUUAAUACUUAUUCUUGAAAAGUAAUUUCCGAAAAUAUGAUCCCGAAAAAUAUAUAGUUUAAUUUGUUUGCAUAUGGUUAAUUAAUGAAACGAGAUUAGAACGGUUUCGAUGGAAGGUGCCUCCUACGCUUGAUUUAGUAAUGUUCGGUGCAGAUUGAUGGCGACUAGCUCCUACGUUUUGCAGCAUUUGUCGCCGUCGGUUCGAGAAUGGGCAGCUACCCCUUUACUUUCGUUUCGAUGCAUGCUUGAGUGCCUGAUUUCUCUUCCGUGAUAACAAAACCGUUCUCACGAUGAAGCAUCGAGAAUCUAUGAUACAGAGUUUCAUAGGUCGCAUUCGGACAUUCUGCCGGAGAGAACAAAUAGUGAUUGUAUAUGUACAUAUAUCAACAUGUGCGGUAAUAUAAUUACAACACACUAUAAUUGCCUAUAUUUUAAAAUUGAAAAUUGAGAAAUUAAUAAUGUCAGUUAAAAAUAAUGGUAUUAAAAGCAAUUAUAUGGAAGUUAUUCCAUCUCAAUCUUUCAAUUAUGCGUUAGUUAUCCUUUUCCUUAAUAAAAAGUAAUCAAGAUUCUGCAAGUUAGCUUUUUCACAGUAAAAUCGAAAGAUGUAAGGAACCUUCUCUUGCUUUUAAAAUUAUUGAACGUUUAUGAUAGGUGCCGGCUAAUGGAUUUCGCAAUUUUGAAAGUCAAAAAGUACCAUCAUUCUUGAACUAUCCACACGACGUGUCUUGGACUUGUAUCUAGGACGGUUAAUGUUAACUGACAAUUUUGCAAAGUUAGUGUACUUUGGACGGUACGAGUUGCCUAGUCAAAAACUUCAAAGACGAUCUCCUGAGGUAUAUCAAAGGAGAUAGUACUCGCGUUUCCACUUUCGCGUGACAUGGUUUUGGCACUUUGACACGUGGAAAAUUGAUAAAAUUGCCCGAAACGUGAGGCGAGGCUCGAUUCGUACGUGCCAGAAAUCGGGAAACUACUAUCGAGAAUUACAGUCGCGCAUUCGAAGAAACUAUAACAGGAAAGAGAGGAUAAUAAAUGUUUUAAUAUCAAAGAUGUUAUCAAUCAUGGAGUUAUCUAUUUAGGUUAAUGAAUUAUGUCGAGAGUACGGAAAUGGAACGAAUAACGAUCUGUCAUUUUUCUGUUAAAUUUUAAUUAGACGGAAAAUGAUUUGGGAGAUUAGUAAGGAUUUAAUAUUACGUUUUCAACAUAGAGUAAGGAAAGAAUUUAGUUUUCGUUAACUACCUUCUUAAACUUAUUUAAAUUAUUAUAUUUCGGGAAUAUAAGAAUAUGAGUAAGAGUUUUUUUAUGUAUCCCGAGAAGUUUUAAUUUCCGGGUUCUUCCGGUCUAGGAUUAUCAACAAACGGCAGGAAGUACUUUGCAUUUAUUUCCAUAAUUGAAGUUGCACACCUCCAUCUUGCAAGUGCAAUUAAAUAAAUCACUAUUAGGCUAUUGUCUUAGGAAGCAGCGUGCAACCAGCACCGACGCGAAACAUGGGAAAGGUGCAGGAGGCGGCUGUGGAGAGUCGCGGGAUAGGGUGAAAGGUGUGUUAGUAUUGCGGGACUUAGGUGCUAGCUAUAGCCCAGUAUGUAUGUAGUCUUUAUAAUCCCUCGGCUUAUAGAGAAAGAGGGAAGCAGAGAAGGAUACCGCGACGCUGUCGCCUGUAACGGACGUGAAAGGGACGUACUUGAGUAUUUUGUCGCGCUAUAUCGCUUCUGGCUACGACACGCGGCACACCGAUACGUAAACCACGAAAUUGCUCGGAUUGCGGGGCGAUCUGGUCGUGGGGUCUGGAAGGCUUCGAUUUUCUUCGCCUUCCCGUGGCCUCAGAUUCUAUCUAUCAACUCGAAAAGACGCUC